UCCAAAGGUAUUAUUUGUUUGAAGGAAUCAAAUUGUUCCAAAUUCAUCUUUUGCUUAUUUAGUGAAUUUGUUUCAUGCCUUUUAUUGCAGAUAGUUGAAGAAGCUGGUGGCACAGUUACUCGCAUGGAUGGUGGAAAGUUCUGUGUGUUUGAUAGAUCUAUUUUAGUAUCCAAUGGUGCACUGCAUGAAAAGCUUUUGGAGAGAAUUGGACCUGCAACAGAGAAAUUGAAGAGCAAAGGAAUUGAUUUCUCAUUGUGGUACAAGCCUGAAAGUUUGCAUGCAGAUCUUUGAGAUGGCCAGAUUUCUGUUUGCUUAUUACGGACUCUGCUAAAAAAAAUUGCUGCAGCUCAGAGCCAUGGAUCUGCAAGCAAUCCACA